AGCACACAGUCGGGGCAGACUGUGUCUCUUAAGAAAGAGAAACAACAUGUGGACGGAGAGAAGGCUCUCUCUAGCCUCCGCGUUCCUUCCUCGCGUCAUGCAGGGAUGCGUCAGACAAACACCACUGGCCUGUGACAGUUCCCUCGUGCCCCCUUCCUCUCAUCAGAUUUAUUUGGACCGUAAUGAAGACGCGACGGGCCCCGGGCUGUAACCGACGGCGACAGGGUGACACUGAUGAAUGGCUGAAGGUGCGUUCUCUACAGCUGGAAGGAAAGGGAGGACUGUCAUUUCUGCAAUACUGCACUCGGAGUGUCUGUGCGAGUCUGCCUCGCAGACCUGUUAGAUCAAACAGUGGGAGAGUAAACAGGAUAUUUAUGGAACAUGUGUAACUAUUACUCACACAAAGGUUGCUACCGCUGCUUUGUUAUCACCUUUAUCUUUAUCAUCAUUACCAAAAUAAUGGGGCUGCAUCAACAAAUCUCAGAACAAAACGUCCUCGCAUUAAUAAUUACAAGUAACGACUUUAUCAUCGUUACAGUCCGACACAAUUAUUAGAUAAUCAUCACCCCCUCAGCAUUUACAUUUAGAAUUAUCAACACUAAUUUACAACGGUAUUGGCUUUAUCAUAUGUAUUUUAUCAUCUAGAUGUCAACAUAAUGUGCUGCGCUGUCCCCAUAGCAUUUACUUUUGUAUUUAUAUUCAUCAAUCUCAGUUUGAUUGGCAGGAUUUUAGCAAACAUAAUUAAGCUAUAACAAUUUGUUUACCUUUAGCAUUAGCACUAGCAUUGGUAUGAUAAACAUUCCAGCCUCCAUCAAUCAAAUGACCUCUUUUUUGAGCACUUAAUCAUCACCAUACCUUCAAAAUUCAAAAUUAGUUUCAUGAUGCUUCCACUCUAUUUGCUAAGAUAACUCAAGGUUCAAAGUUCAAGGUUUCUUAUUUGCCAUUUGUGCAUGAUAAGAAACCUUAUCAUGCAGGCUCAUGGGCAUUUUUGAGCAGGGUUCUCUCGGUCAACAGUUAAGGGACAAAAUUGACACAAUGUCAAAAAUAUAUAAGAUAUGAAUAAGUACUAGACAAGAUGGUGGAAUAUAAACACAAACUUAAUUCUUGAAGUAGAAAAGUGGAUUCAGAAAUUUAUAUUGAAGAGAUAGCUAAAUAUCUAGCUAGCAAGAUAGCGUGUCUUUCUUGCAGUUCAAAACAUUGAAGAGGUCGAGGUCCCGAUUAAAGUAUUUGUUGAUAUCUGGGACUCGUUGCUGUAGUCAACUCCUGAUGCCUGUUGUUGGUCUACUUUCUGUGAUUUUAUGUUGCCACGUUCCCUCACAAUCCAUGCAGUUGAUUUUAGCACUGAAAACAUUGGCACAUUAGUUUGUAAACUUAUCAAAUCUGGAUUUUUCAGUGAUAUUUGUUUUUAGCUGUUUAGCAUUGUGCUAACAGUGGCAUCUGUUCCAACAGAUACCAACGUACUGCUGAGAUGCACACUUCAAACCAAAACUUUUGUUUAAGCUGUUUUCAAUGUCACAAGCCAAAUGAUCAACUAGUCCUAUCAAAAACAAAUUAAACAUCCAAAUGUUAGCAUAGCACUUUAGGAAACUGCUCCAUAUCAAAAUAUGAAAAUCUGAAAUUUUGUUAUUGGACUGCACUUUAAAGCUUCUCCAUCAUACACACAGCACUGAUCAUAUUAACUUUAGCAUUGAAUUAUUAUAAACAAACACCUCAUCUGAACUCACAGAGUCGGUACAGAGCAAAAAAAUAAAUGUAAUUAAAAACACCCCUUUUUAACAAAAAUAAUUAAAUAAAUAAAUAAUAGUGAGCAAAGUAAAAAGGUUUUAAUUUUGUUGUCUUCUGUUUGUAAGACUUCUAGCAAAAACCAUAUUCAAACCUUAAUUUUAAUAUAGCUCUUCUGGGAACAUUGAGAUGCGGAGUAUUUGAAGUCAUAAUAUGAAGCUAUUAAAAUGUUAAUAAGCUAUUAGUUCAACACAUAUUUCAUAUUAUAUUUCCUGCACUGUUGAGUAAAUGUUACAUUUUGUCUGUUUUUAUUUCAAACUUUUGUUCACUUUGUCAUAAAUAACUACUUUGUACCAUCUGUAUGUUUCUUUUAAGUACCCCAAGUCUUGACAAACACACAAAAUUUCCAUCUUGUCACAUAAAAGGGUCAGUGUAACUGUACUGAAACCUGCUGUACAAUAUAUGAAUAAAACAUUGCUUUAACCAUUUAAUAAAAGUUGAUCCUUUUCAUUCAG